rnacentral:rRNA from 1 species
GACGGAGGGGGCUAGCGUUGUUCGGAAUUACUGGGCGUAAAGCGCGCGUAGGCGGCCUUUCAAGUCAGGUGUGAAAGCCCCGAGCUUAACUCGGGAACUGCACUUGAUACUGUUGGGCUUGAGACCGGGAGAGGAUAGCGGAAUUCCCAGUGUAGAGGUGAAAUUCGUAGAUAUUCGGAGGAACACCAGUGGCGAAGGCGGCUCACUGGCUCGAUACUGACGCUGAGGUGCGAAAGCGUGGGGAGCAAACAGG